rnacentral:rRNA from 1 species
UUGCAGUUAAAAAGCUCGUAGUUGGAUUUCGGAACCGGCCGAUUGGUCCGUCCUCUGGAUCGUGUACUGAUCGGUCUGUUCUUCUUCGCGAAGACCGCGUGUGCUCUUAACUGAGUGGGCGUGGGAUUCGCGACGUUUACUUUGAAAAAAUUAGAGUGUUCAAAGCAGGCAGUCGCUUGAAUAUCUCAGCAUGGAAUAAUAGAAUAGGACUUUGGUCUUAUUUUGUUGGUUUCCGAGACCGAAGUAAUGAUUAAUAGGGACAGUUGGGGGCAUUCGUAUUUCAUUGUCAGAGGUGAAAUUCUUGGAUUUAUGAAAGACGAACUUCUGCGAAAGCAUUUGCCAAGGAUGUUUUCAUUAAUCAAGAACGAAAGUUGGAGGCUCGAAGACGAUCAGAUACCGUCCUAGUUCCAACCAUAAACGAUGCCGUCUGCGGAUCGGAGGUCGCUCAUGUAAGGCUCCUUCGGCACGCUAUGAGAAAUCAAAGACUUCGGGUUCCGGGGGGAGUAUGUUCGCAAGAAUGAAACUUAAAGGAAUUGACGGAAGGGCACCACCAGGAGUGGAACCUGCGGUUUAAUUUGACUCAACACGGGAAAUCUCACCA